rnacentral:piRNA from 1 species
UGCGUUGUACUUGAUCUCUUAAGCAUUCA